rnacentral:rRNA from 1 species
GGGGGAAUAUUGGACAAUGGGCGCAAGCCUGAUCCAGCCAUGCCGCGUGAGUGAUGAAGGCCCUAGGGUUGUAAAGCUCUUUCACCGGUGAAGAUAAUGACGGUAACCGGAGAAGAAGCCCCGGCUAACUUCGUGCCAGCAGCCGCGGUAAUACGAAGGGGGCUAGCGUUGUUCGGAUUUACUGGGCGUAAAGCGCACGUAGGCGGACUUUUAAGUCAGGGGUGAAAUCCCGGGGCUCAACCCCGGAACUGCCUUUGAUACUGGAAGUCUUGAGUAUGGUAGGGGUGAGUGGAAUUCCGAGUGUAGAGGUGAAAUUCGUAGAUAUUCGGAGGAACACCAGUGGCGAAGGCGGCUCACUGGACCAUUACUGACGCUGAGGUGCGAAAGCGUGGGGAGCAAACAGG